AUUAAAUUAUGUUUCAUAGCUAAAUAUUUGAUAUUAAAUGAAAGCCCUGUUUCCCCUGAAUAAAAUGAUAUAUAAUAAGGGUGGGUGCAUUUACUAUGAAAGAGGUGUAUUACGGUUGGACAGACAUGUAGCGCAAAUGCCAGGUUUUGUUUACAUUUUGUUUUGUUCACAAUGUGUACAUUUGGCUCCGUCCUUAAGGGGUUAAAUAUAUA